rnacentral:rRNA from 1 species
UAGUCCACGCCGUAAACGAUGUCAACUAGCCGUUGGGAGCAAUUAAGCUCUUAGUGGCGCAGCUAACGCGAUAAGUUGACCGCCUGGGGAGUACGCCGGCAACGGUAAAACUCAAAUGAAUUGACGGGGGCCCGCACAAGCGGUGGAGUAUGUGGCUUAAUUCGAUGCAACGCGAAGAACCUUACCUGGGCUUGACAUGCCGUCGUAGAUCUUGAAAGGGAUCGUCAGUUCGGCUGGACGUGCACAGGUGCUGCAUGGCUGUCGUCAGCUCGUGUCGUGAGGUGUUCGGUUAAGUCCGGCAACGAGCGCAACCCCUGUGAAUAGUUGCUAGCAAGUAAUGUUGAGGACUCUAUUCAGACUGCCCGGGUUCAACCGGGGAGGAAGGUGGGGGACGACGUCAAGUCAGUAUGGGCCCUUAUGCCUAGGGGCGACACACGUGCUACAAUGGUGCAUACAGAGGGGUAGCGAAGCCGCGAGGGUGGGAGCCAAUCU